ensembl:snRNA U6 U6 spliceosomal RNA
GUGCUCGCUCGGGCAGCACAUACACUGACACUGGAAUGAUGCAGAGAUCAGCAUGGCCCUGUGCGAGGAUGACACGCAAGUUCGUGAAGCGUUCCAUAUUUUU